rnacentral:lncRNA from 10 species
GAAUCAGAGAGACCCAGGGGUUGAAGAGGAUUUAUUUAAUUAUUUAGGUGCACCGACCCAGUCGGAUUAACAUCCAAAGGACUGAGCCCCGAACAAGGAGUCCGGUUACCUUUUAAGCAUUUAGUGGGAUGGGGGGAGAUUUGUGCAGGGGGAAGCAUAUUACAGAAACGAGAAACAAAGACAGUUAUUUAAGACAUGCAUUACAUUAUUUCUAACUUUUCAAGGAACAGCAUGUUUUAUGACUUGAGAUUAUCUGUUUAGUGACCUUGCAGCUGCACAGCUAGAGAAACAGAGUUCACAAUGCCUGGGAAAGGGAGAGAUAAGGCUCACUAGCCACAGAAAGACAGGCAGUCAAUUUUUUUUUUUUUUUUUUUGAGGUGGAGUCUUGCUCUGUGGCCCAGGCUGGAGUGCGGUGGCACGAUCUCGGCUCACUGCAAGCUCUGCCUCCCGGGUUCACGCCAUUCUCCUGCCUCAGCCUCCCGAGUAGCUGGGACUACAGGCGCCCGCCACCACCACACCCAGCUAAUUUUUUGUAUUUUUAGUAGAGAUGGGGUUUCACCGUGUUAGCCAGGAUGUUCUCUAACUCCUGACCUCAGGUGAUCUGCCCACCUCAGCCUCCCAAAGUGCUGGGAUUACAGGCAUGAGCCACGGCGCCCGGCCUGCUUACACAUUUUUAAAUUUCUUUUAAUUCUUAUUCCACCUCAGCUUCCCAAAGUUAAAAAUUAUGUUUAUUAUCACUGAUAGAGAAUCUAAUUGCUUUCCAGUAGGCGGGGACUACAUAAAUUCUGGAGCACCAGCCUGCCACAGGGCUGGAGUGCAAUACGUCUUCAUGGCUCACUGCAGCCUCAACCUCCCAGGCACAAGCGAUCCUCCCAUCUCAGCCUCCUGAGGAGCUGAGGCCACAGCUGCAUGCCACCAUACCCAGCACCAGGCUCAGGCUGGAAACCAUCCAAAGCGCAAUCCCUG